rnacentral:lncRNA from 1 species
GGGUCCAUAUGGGGACGUCCACCCAUUGGGAUCCAUCCGUUCCCAUUUCCGGGUCUGUUUAUGGACACUGAUCCAUUGG